UUCCUUAGAUCGUACAUGCUACAUGGAUAACUGUAGUAAUUCUAGAGCUAAUACAUGCCACUAUGCCCUGACCCGCAAGGGAACGGGUGGAUUUAUUAGAACAGAACCAACCGGGAACGGCUUCGGUCGUUCCUGUUGCACUCUGUGAUGACUCUGGAUAACUUUACUGAUCGCAGUCGGCCUUGUGUCGGCGACGGAUCUUUCAAAUGUCUGCCCUAUCAACUUUCGAUGGUAGGUGAUCUGCCUACCAUGGUGAUAACGGGUAACGGGGAAUCAGGGUUCGAUUCCGGAGAGGGAGCCUGAGAAACGGCUACCACAUCCAAGGAAGGCAGCAGGCGCGAAAAUUACCCACUCCCGGCACGGGGAGGUAGUGACGAAAAAUACGAAUGCGGGACUCACUCGAGGCUCCGUAAUUCGAAUGAGUACAAUCUAAAUCCUUUAACGAGGACCAAUUGGAGGGCAAGUCUGGUGCCAGCAGCCGCGGUAACUCCAGCUCCAAAAGCGUAUAUUAAAGUUGCUGCAGUUAAAAA
rnacentral:rRNA from 1 species